rnacentral:rRNA from 1 species
AGCAGUAGCCGCGGGAAUACGUAGGUCCCGAGCGUUGUCCGGAUUUAUUGGGCGUAAAGCGAGCGCAGGCGGUUAGAUAAGUCUGAAGUUAAAGGCUGUGGCUUAACCAUAGUACGCUUUGGAAACUGUUUAACUUGAGUGCAAGAGGGGAGAGUGGAAUUCCACGUGUAGCGGUGAAAUGCGUAGAUAUAUGGAGGAACACCGGUGGCGAAAGCGGCUCUCUGGCUUGUAACUGACGCUGAGGCUCGAAAGCGUGGGGAGCAAACAGGAUUAGAUACCCCUGUAGUCCCUGUCUCUUAUACA